AUGGGGAGCAACGAGAUGGUGGUGGUGCCGGAGAUCAAGCACACCAAGCUCUUCAUCAACGGCGAGUUCGUCGAUGCCGCCUCGGGGAAGACGUUCGAGACGCGGGACCCACGGACAGGCGACGUGCUGGCCCACAUCGCAGAGGCGGACAAAGCCGACGUGGACCUCGCCGUCAACGCCGCCAGGGAGGCCUUCGAGCACGGCAAGUGGCCCCGCAUGUCAGGCUACGAGAGGGGCAGGGCCAUGCACAAGCUGGCCGACCUGAUGGAGCAGCACACCGAGGAGCUGGCGGCGCUGGACGGCGCCGACGCCGGCAAGCUGCUGCUGCUGGGCAAGAUCAUCGACAUCCCUGCGGCGGUGCAGAUGCUGCGCUACUACGCCGGCGCCGCCGAUAAGAUCCACGGCGACUCGCUGCGCGUGUCCGGCAAGUACCAGGGCUACACCCUCAAGGAGCCCAUCGGGGUCGUCGGCAUCAUCAUCCCGUGGAACUUCCCCAGCCUCAUGUUCUUCCUCAAGAUCAGCCCGGCGCUCGCCGCCGGAUGCACCGUCGUCGUCAAGCCCGCCGAGCAGACGCCCCUCUCCGCGCUCUACUAUGCGCACCUUGCGAAGCUGGCUGGCAUUCCGGACGGAGUGAUCAAUGUCGUCCCUGGCUUCGGCCCGACGGCCGGCGCCGCCAUCGCAUCCCACAUGGACGUUGACAGCGUUGCCUUCACUGGCUCUGGUGAAGUAGGCCGCCUCAUCAUGGAGGCAUCUGCACGGAGCAACCUGAAGACAGUGUCGCUUGAGCUCGGCGGCAAGUCGCCUCUGAUAAUCUUCGACGACGCCGACGUCGACAUGGCGGUCGAGCUCUCAAGGCUUGCCAUCUUCUUCAACAAGGGAGAGGUUUGCGUUGCGGGGUCACGUGUUUAUGUUCAGGAAGGGAUCUACGACGAGUUCGUGAAGAAGGCUGUGGUGGCUGCACAGAACUGGAAAGUCGGAGACCCGUUUGAUGUCGCCACCAACAUGGGUCCCCAGGUUGAUAAGGAGCAAUUUGAGAGGGUCCUAAGGUACAUUGAGCAUGGCAAGAGUGAGGGGGCGACUCUGCUCACCGGCGGCAAACGUGCCGGCGACAAAGGAUACUACAUUGAGCCAACCAUAUUUGCAGAUGUCAAGGAGGAUAUGAAGAUCGCCCAAGAUGAGAUCUUCGGCCCUGUGAUGUCCCUCAUGAAGUUCAAGACGGUCGAUGAGGCGAUAGAGAAGGCCAACUGCACCAAGUACGGGCUGGCCGCCGGGAUCAUCACCAAGAACUUGGACAUCGCCAACAAGGUGUCGAGGUCGGUUCGCGCGGGGACCGUGUGGGUGAACUGCUACUUCGCCUUCGACCCCGAGGCGCCCUUCGGCGGGUACAAGAUGAGCGGCUUCGGCCGGGACCAGGGGAUGAUGGCCAUGGACAAGUACAUGCAGGUCAAGAGCGUCAUCACCGCAGUCCCUGACUCGCCAUGGUAUUAG
rnacentral:rRNA from 1 species